GGGCCCGCACAAGCGGUGGAGCAUGUGGUUUAAUUCGAUGAUACGCGAGGAACCUUACCAGGGCUUAAAUGUAAGUUGCAUUAGUUAGAGAUAGCUAUUUCUUCGGACCACUUACAAGGUGCUGCAUGGUUGUCGUCAGCUCGUGCCGUGAGGUGUCAGGUUAAGUCCUAUAACGAGCGCAACCCCUGUUGUUAGUUGCCAGCGAGUCAUGUCGGGAACUCUAACAAGACUGCCGGUGCAAACCGUGAGGAAGGUGGGGAUGACGUCAAAUCAUCACGGCCCUUACGUCCUGGCCUACACACGUGCUACAAUGGUAGGGACAGAGAGCAGCCACUUCGCGAGAAGGAGCGAA
rnacentral:rRNA from 1 species